CUAAAUCACAAAGGUGAGUUUUGUUGAUGUUGUUGACUUAUGUGCUAAUCAGACAUAUUUGGUCGCAGCAUGACUGCCAGCUAAUCGAUGCUAACAUGCUAUGCUAAUCGAUGCUAACAUGCUGUGUUGUCCUGAAGUCAACUGUUAAUAUUAUUUACGUAAUUACAUGAUAAUAUUUUUGUAUUACUUAAUAUUUUGUAUUAGUAACUCUGCAAUGCUUUAAUUUGGAGUUAAAGUUGUUUAUAUUUAUUGCACGCUAUAAUCGGUAAACAGCAGUUAGAUGAUGUCACUUCCGCUAAAUUACUUCCUGUUGGUUGACUUCCGGUAUUUGUUCGAAAGCUAGAGAUACAUUUUGUGGUCUUCUGUAGUACUUUCUGUUGCCAUCCUACACAAAGCGGCGAAGAAGCAAUGCCUUUUUCACCAUCUUGUCUAUGAAGGAAUUGUCAAAAGUAAAUGGUCAAGCUUACAA